rnacentral:lncRNA from 1 species
CAAAAUUUUAUAUUUCUCCAGGUCAGAAAAGUGAUAAAGUGGGGCUGGAGAGAUGACUCAGUGGUUAAGAGCACUAAGUGCUCUUCCAGAGGUCCUGAGUUCAAAUCCCAGCAACCACAUGGUGGCUCACAAUGGGAUCCGAUACCCUCUUCUGGUGUGUCUGAAGACAACUACAAUGUACUUAUAUAUGAUAAAUAAAUAAAUCUUAAAAGAGUGAUACGCGGGGUUGGGGAUUUAGCUCAGUGGUAGAGCACUUGCCUAGGAAGCGCAAGGCCCUGGGUUCGGUCCCCAGCUCUGAAAAAAAGAACCAAAAAAAAAAAAAAAGAAAGAAAAAAAAGAGUGAUACGCUUUAGUAGAUAUCAUGGAAAUCAAAAUGUAGGGUAGGCUCUGUGAUACACACCUGUAGUCAUCUAGUCAGGAAACUGAGGCAGUAACAUUG